ACGACUGCAAUGGUGUUACCUGUCAGAACGGUGGAAACUGCGUUGAUGGCAUCGACUCAUACACCUGCGAUUGUGCUGUUGGCUUUGAAGGCACUCACUGUGAAACAAACAUAGACGACUGCAACGGUGUUACCUGUCAAAACGGUGGAAACUGCGUUGAUGGCAUCAACUCAUACACCUGCGACUGUGCUGUUGGCUUUGAAGGCACUCACUGUGAAACAAACAUAGACGACUGCAACGGUGUUACCUGUCAGAACGGUGGAAACUGCGUUGAUGGCAUCGACUCAUACACCUGCGAUUGUGCUGUUGGCUUUGAAGGCACUCACUGUGAAACAAGUAAGUUUCUCGAUAUAACAUUUAGCAGAUGGCAAGGUCUCAAUCAAUUCGUUACUCGACUAGUUCAAAAACAUAUUUUGAGCGAAUUGGGGAAAACCAAUUAUCUAUUCAACUCAAAGGACCUUAUGAAG